UACGUAGGUGGCAAGCGUUGUCCGGAUUUACUGGGCGUAAAGAGCUCGUAGGCGGUUUGUCGCGUCUGCCGUGAAAGUCCGGGGCUCAACUCCGGAUCUGCGGUGGGUACGGGCAGACUAGAGUGAUGUAGGGGAGACUGGAAUUCCUGGUGUAGCGGUGAAAUGCGCAGAUAUCAGGAGGAACACCGGUGGCGAAGGCGGGUCUCUGGGCCGAUACUGACGCUGAGGAGCGAAAGCGUGGGGAGCGAACAGG
rnacentral:rRNA from 1 species